rnacentral:rRNA from 1 species
AUUCAACUGUCAGGUGAACCAGACAAGUUCCGAUCGAAUUUGCACCAGAACCGUAGCUUUUCAGUCAAAUCCUUGUAUGAUGCAACGGUUCACACUAAUGUUUCGGUUGAUAACAAGAAAUUGUGGAAGCUCAAAAUUCCCUUAAGAGUGAAGAUAUUCCUCUGGUUUCUAAACAGAGGGGUCAUCUUAACUAGAGAUAACCUGGCACGACGCAACUGGCAAGGUAGAAGAUGUGUCUUUUGCCAACAUGACGAGUCCAUCAAACACUUAUUUUUUGAGUGUAAGUUUGCUCGUGCAGUCUGGGCCAUAGUUCAAGUAGCUUCAAAUCUAUAUCCUCACAUAGUGCACGUAACAUGUUCGGCAAUUGGCUGCGGGGUAUCGGUAAACAAUUUUAUGCACAUCUACUCGUGGGGGCAGCUGCCUUAUGUUGGGCAAUGCAGCUUACCAGAAAUGAUGUGA